rnacentral:rRNA from 1 species
UACGUAGGGUGCGAGCGUUAAUCGGAAUUACUGGGCGUAAAGCGUGCGCAGGCGGCGCGUUAAGACAGGUGUGAAAGCCCCGAGCUUAACUUGGGAAUUGCGCUUGUGACUGGCGUGCUGGAGUGUGGCAGAGGGGGGUAGAAUUCCACGUGUAGCAGUGAAAUGCGUAGAUAUGUGGAGGAAUACCGAUGGCGAAGGCAGCCCCCUGGGAUAACACUGACGCUCAUGCACGAAAGCGUGGGGAGCAAACAGG